rnacentral:rRNA from 1 species
UACAGAGGGUGCAAGCGUUGUUCGGAAUUAUUGGGCGUAAAGCGCGUGUAGGCGGUGAUGUAUGUCGGGUGUGAAAGCCCUCAGCUUAACUGAGGAAGUGCGCCCGAAACUACAUCGCUAGAGUGCCGGAGAGGGUGGCGGAAUUCCCGGUGUAGAGGUGAAAUGCGCAGAUAUCGGGAAGAACACCCGUGGCGAAGGCGGUUCUCUGGGACGGUACUGACGCUGAGACGCGAAAGCGUGGGGAGCGAACAGG